GGUACACUAGUUCUAACUAUUGCGGAAGAUAUAAACAUAAAUUAUUUAUACAUUAAACAUUACACACUAUCCCCAAAGUCGAGAACCUUCACUUAAAACCUGAAUCAAUAUCCUAUCUAACAUACAAUGUUAUUAUUAUACAAUACUGUUACAAAUUUAGUUGCACACAUAGUCCCAAGCUGAACUUGGCUUUGACUUUUCCUUGUAUCCGACGUAUUCGCCUUAAUCUGCAAUGUUUAUCAUGAUAUAGCAAGGGUGAGCAACAAGUUUGCCCAACAAGUUUAAGUUCAAUAAAUUAAGAAUAUAUCAUAAUGGAAAGAUUUUGAAUAAUAGCUAGCUCACAUUCAACAAUAUAAUUGUGAACUAGCAUGGAUAAAUUUUCAUAGCUGAACGAACAUUGAAUAUGAACAUAUCAAUUAUAUCUAGUGUAAUGCCCCCAAAAUCGGGACAAUUUCUCUCCCCGAUCUUGUGCGUUAAUAUUAUCUCGUUCUAGCUUUAAAACAUUAUUUAAUGUUAAAAUAGCUAAAAAUGCGGAAUAAUUUUUUUUUUCUUUCCAUUCAUUCAUCCCCUGAAUCGCAACCUUUACAAUUCUUCUUUAUACUAGAAUCAUAUUUAUUAUAUGAUUUGUAUAAUCUGAGUAAAUGUAUUAAAACUUAAGUCUUAAUACAUAAUAUCUUUUCUAUCGAUAAUUCACUUAUUUCAGAAUCAUAUUUGUUCUCAUUUCAGAGUAAACAUUCUUUAUACAUUCAACAUUUCAAACUAUACAUAACUGUCAAUUACAUUUGACAAAACUAUCAAUCAUAGAUUUAUACCAUUUCUAAUUCAAGGAAAUGUAUUCAUUUUGCACAUCGAUCAAUCUUCAUCAUCCGUAUAGCAAAUAAUAUCGCUUAAUAUCAUUAACCUGCAAAAAGUUUGUAUUUGCAAGAUUGAGCUUGACAGCCCAGCAAAUUUAACAGUCUAUCAUGUUUCACAUAGCACACAAUUCCAUAUGCACUAUAUUUCCUUUACUAUGCAUAUCCUACAUGCAUCAAUAAUUCUGUGCAAUGCAUAAAUUCAUUUGUUGAAUUACCUCGUCCGAUCCUCAAUCGCCUUUGUAUGAUCUAUAUAUAGCACAUUGAAUUAUAAUAUGCUUCAUAAUCUUAUUAGAAACUUAACACAUAACUAAAUUGAUUUAUAAUCUUUAGUUUGCAUAACGCGUCAUUAUCGACAUUCCACAUACCAACUUCAUAUUUUUCAGAUCUUGAGUUCUUAAGAUUCCAUCUUGUUUUAGAUUAACUAAUCAAUCUUUAAUCCGUUUCAGAAUGAAUUUCAUUACGUUGUUGCUGAUUCGCAUCAUUAAUAUCAUAUGUAUUACCUAUGUAAUAAAGCUUAUAGCUUAAUAUGUAACACGUUCUUUGGUUUAACCAAAACUUGAAUACAUCUAGAUUAACAAUUUGAUCUCUCAUUAUUAACCAUAUUAGGUUAAUUAGUUCCAUUCAAAGGUUAUUUAUAUCUCUAAUAUCUUGCGCAUGCUUAUGUAAUGUAAUUAAAGUCAUUACAUAGCUUAACGAUAAUAUAUUCUACAAAUAUGGUUUAAAUUUCCAUAUUUCAAAGGUUAAUUUCAUAAUCUUAACUUAGUAAUCAUGUUAGGUUAUUAGCAUAAUUUAUAGAUUAACUUAUGUAUUAAAACAUGUUUUAUUAUUAAUUUUUAACUAAUUAAACACCCAGGGGCAAAACUGUAAUAAAUCAGUAAUUAAACACUCAAUGGCAAAACUGUAAUAAAGCAGAAAUAACAAUCUGGAACAUGGGGCUGCCCAGAUUUCCAGAUUGUUUUGUGAUUUCCUGGCUACUUUGUGAUUUUAUAUCUCACAAUCUACUAAUCCGAUUGCUUCCAAAUUUUGAUAUGUUAUACUUGGUACUACAUACUAUUUUAAAAAAAUAUAGCACGAACAAUUUGGGUUCAUUAAGAUGAUAUUACAGAAGCUCCAAUAUGCCCCCCUCACCUCAGUUUUUUUUUUCUUCAUUCAAUUCAAGUUUUUUUUUUUGAAAUUCUUUAAAACUUGAUUUGAGCUUGAUUUGAUUCACUCAAUCAACUUAGUUAACAUCAUAAUACAUAUAUAAAGGUUACCUAGCCCCAAACUUUGCUUAAUUUUUGAUUUCUAAGCAUUAAUUUUCAUUGAGACAAAUUUUCAAAUACUUUACACGCAUAAAUAAAUUUCCAGAUUUUCACAAACUUUUAAACAUGGUUUAGCCAAGAAUUUUCGAAAUUCUUCAUCCUUAUCACUCCAAGCAUCACUUACCAUCCAUAUCACAUCAUAUCUCAUAGUCCAAGCACAACAAUUUUAUAAAUAUAAGACAUUAAUACUCUAAUUUUUAUGAACUUUAACAAAUAAAGGUUAAUACCUCUUGUUUGAUGUUCUUAUUUGAAUUCUUGUUUCAAUCCUUGCUCCAAACUUCUUGUUGAUUGAAUCCAAUCUCCCUUAACAGUAAUUUGAUGCAAUACUCCCUUCACUUCAAUUGCUAAUUUCAAUUCCUAAAGAGUUUAGGUAGUUUCUUUGUUUAUGGGGAGAGAGCAUAUCAAAUUGGGAGAGGAAGAAGAAUGGAACGGAUGGGAGAGAAAAGUGAGGGCUGAGAAUUGGGUUUAUUUGUAGCUGAUAAUAGUCUAGUCUAGCAUUCCCAACCUCUUUGUUAAUUAUCAGACUUGGUUUCUAAGUGUCAUCCUAAUAUCCAAAGGUUAUGCCACCUCCUACUGUAGCCCCUAAUGACUCACCCAUAAGGCUUAUUCUCGUUACUUUAAUUCUCAGCAAAGUGAACUUAGCCUUUUAAUACAUAUUCAACAUCAUGACUUGG
rnacentral:lncRNA from 1 species